CGUGUGGAAUGUGGCAGCUCCUCUUUGUCCUGAAGAGUUGUGUCUGAAUGGAGCAUCGUCAGGAUUUAAUUGCAGCCCAUUCUCAGUCCUGAACAUCCUCAAGAGCUCGUGGGCUGUUGAUGGAAAAGUGGAGGUCAUGGCCUAUGAGACUGCAAGUGGGACUCUUGACAGCCCAAGGAGGAGAUGGAGCCUGUCAGCAGUGAAAAGGGUUUUCUCUUCCAGCUGACAGGAGUCCAGGGAGAGCUGAGCUGGAUUAGGAUUGAUUUAGGAUGGACUCGUGCUGCACCAAUGGGAAUGGAACAGAUUUAGGUUGGAAUCAGACCUGGAAUUCUGGGGUCUAAAACCCACCCUUGAAUCUAGAAGCACCAAAUAUCCUUGGAGUCACAGCCAGUCAGGAAAAAGCUCCUUUUUUCUCAGUUUUCUGGCCUCAAAUACCUAUUACAGUUCUCCCAACAUCCUGACUUGAGCAAGUGGCUUCCACCUGCACACCAGGGAUUUUUGGAAUAUUGUCCAUAAAAUCACAGGAGAUUGGAAAAGACCCCUAAGGUUGAGCCCAACCAUUAACUCAGCCCAAGUUCACCACUAACCCACGUCCCCCAGUGCCACAUCCACCUGUUCUCUGACCUCCUCCAGGGAUGGUGAUUCCACUGCUCCAGUGCCUGACCAACCUUUCCAGGAAGAUGUUUUUCCUGAUAUCCAACCUAAACUUCCUCUGGAGUAACCUGAGAAACAGUUGGAAGAACAUUGGAUCAAGGCUCUCCAUGAAGACACGUGGAUAUAU